rnacentral:rRNA from 1 species
CUAAGGCUCCAGAGGAAGCCACGGCUAACUCUGUGCCAGCAGCCGCGGUAAUACAGAGGCGGCAAGCGUUGUUCGGAACUAUUGGGCGUAAAGAGCACGUAGGCGGCCUUGCAAGUCAGUUGUGAAAGCCUUCCGCUUAACGGAAGAAUGCCAGCUGAUACUACAGGGCUUGAGUACGGGAGGGGAGAGUGGAACUUCUGGUGGAGCGGUGAAAUGCGUAGAUAUCAGAAGGAACGCCGGCGGCGAAAGCGACUCUCUGGCCCGAAACUGACGCUGAGUGUGCGAAAGCUAGGGGAGCAAACGGGAUUAGAUACCCCGGUAGUCCUAGCCGUAAA